UCUGACACAGGUGCUGCAUGGCUGUCGUCAGCUCGGUGUCGUGAGAUGUUGGGUUAAGUCCCGUAACGAGCGCAACCCUUGUCCUUAGUUACCAGCACGUUAUGGUGGGCACUCUAAGGAGACUGCCGGUGACAACCGGAGGAAGGUGGGGAUGACGUCAAGUCAUCAUGGCCCUUACGGCCUGGGCUACACACGUGCUACAAUGGUCGGUACAAAGGGUUGCCAAGCCGCGAGGUGGAGCUAAUCCCAUAAAACCGAUCGUAGUCCGGAUCGCAGUCUGCAACUCGACUGCGUGAAGUCGGAAUCGCUAGUAAUCGUGAAUCAGAAUGUCACGGUGAAUACGUUCCCGGGCCUU
rnacentral:rRNA from 1 species